GACGAACGCUGGCGGCGUGCUUAACACAUGCAAGUCGAACGGAAAGGCCCUGCUUUUGUGGGGUGCUCGAGUGGCGAACGGGUGAGUAACACGUGAGUAACCUGCCCUUGACUUUGGGGUAACUUCAGGAAACUGGGGCUAAUACCGGAUAGGAGCUCCUGCUGCAUGGUGGGGGUUGGAAAGUUUCGGCGGUUGGGGAUGGACUCGCGGCUUAUCAGCUUGUUGGUGGGGUAGUGGCUUACCAAGGCUUUGACGGGUAGCCGGCCUGAGAGGGUGACCGGCCACAAUGGGACUGAGAGACGGCCCAGACUCGUACGGGAGGCAGCAGGGGGGAAUAUUGCACAAUGGGCGGAAGCCUGAUGCAGAAACGCCGCGUGCGGGAUGACGGCCUUCGGGGUGUAAACCGCUUUCGCCUGUGACGAAGCGUGAGUGACGGUAAUGGGUAAAGAAGCACCGGCUAACUACGUG
rnacentral:rRNA from 1 species